rnacentral:rRNA from 1 species
CGGGAGGCAGCAGUGGGGAAUAUUGCACAAUGGGCGCAAGCCUGAUGCAGCGACGCCGCGUGAGGGAUGGAGGCCUUCGGGUUGUAAACCUCUUUUAUCGGGGAGCAAGCGAGAGUGAGUUUACCCGUUGAAUAAGCACCGGCUAAUUACGUGCCAGCAGCCGCGGUAAUACGUAGGGUGCAAGCGUUAUCCGGAAUUAUUGGGCGUAAAGGGCUCGUAGGCGGUUCGUCGCGUCCGGUGUGAAAGUCCAUCGCUUACCGGUGGAUCCGCGCCGGGUACGGGCGGGCUUGAGUGCGGUAGGGGAGACUGGAAUUCCCGGUGUAACGGUGGAAUGUGUAGAUAUCGGGAAGAACACCAAUGGCGACGGCAGGUCUCUGGGCCGUUACUGACGCUGAGGAGCGUGAGCGUGGGGAGCGCCCAAAAGGAGCUUCCCUNNUUUCCCUCNCCNUCCNCGCCCCUUUUAGGGGUGGGGCCCGUUCCACGGGUUCCGUGUCGGAGCUAACGCGUUAAGCAUCCCCCCCGGGGAGUACGGCCGCAAGGCUAAAACUCAAAGAAAUUGACGGGGGCCCGCACAAGCGGCGGAGCAUGCGGAUUAAUUCGAUGCAACGCGAAGAACCUUACCUGGGCUUGACAUGUUCCCGACGGUCGUAGAGAUACGGCUUCCCUUCGGGGCGGGUUCACAGGUGGUGCAUGGUCGUCGUCAGCUCGUGUCGUGAGAUGUUGGGUUAAGUCCCGCAACGAGCGCAACCCUCGCCCCGCGUUGCCAGCGGAUUAUGCCGGGAACUCACGGGGGACCGCCGGGGUUAACUCGGAGGAAGGUGGGGAUGACGUCAGAUCAUCAUGCCCCUUACGUCCAGGGCUUCACGCAUGCUACAAUGGCCGGUACAACGGGAUGCGACGCGGCGACGCGGAGCGGAUCCCUGAAAACCGGUCUCAGUUCGGAUCGCAGUCUGCAACUCGACUGCGCGAAGGCGGAGUCGCUAGUAAUCGCGAAUCAGCAACGUCGCGGUGAAUGCGUUCCCGGGCC